rnacentral:lncRNA from 1 species
AAUAAAUGCAUGCAUGCUUUAGCUUACAUAUAGGUAUUAUAUGUUAUAAUGUGAUUUGAUUUGAUUUUUGAUUUUUUUUUGCUUUUUUCGUUCCACAUUUUUUAUUCAGGUGUUGAUAUAUUUAGAGAAAAUGCAUGCUUUAGUCUAUUCGAUGUGUGUGAAUUUAUAAGAUCACCUUAAGAAGUGUAUAUAUAAACAAUUGGAGGAUGUGGGGGUGUUUUUUUUAUACCUUUAAGACUCUACAUUUCGUAAAAAUAAACAUUAAGAUUGAAAUAAAACAUGUACAUUUAUGUACCUUCAAUACUCAAAAGGGGAUAGAAAUUUAUACUUUAAGGU